UGCGGGGUGGAGCAGUCUGGUAGCUCGUCGGGCUCAUAACCCGAAGGUCAUCGGUUCAAAUGCGGUCCCCGCUA
rnacentral:tRNA from 1 species